rnacentral:rRNA from 1 species
UGGGGAAUAUUGGACAAUGGGGGGAACCCUGAUCCAGCCAUGCCGCGUGUGUGAAGAAGGCCUUAUGGUUGUAAAGCACUUUAAGCGAGGAGGAGGGUACUGGUAUUAAUACUACCAGGUACUGGACGUUACUCGCAGAAUAAGCACCGGCUAACUCUGUGCCAGCAGCCGCGGUAAUACAGAGGGUGCGAGCGUUAAUCGGAUUUACUGGGCGUAAAGCGUGCGUAGGCGGCUAAUUGAGUCGGAUGUGAAAUCCCCGAGCUUAACUUGGGAAUUGCAUUUGAUACUGGUUAGCUAGAGUGUGGGAGAGGAUGGUAGAAUUCCAGGUGUAGCGGUGAAAUGCGUAGAGAUCUGGAGGAAUACCGAUGGCGAAGGCAGCCAUCUGGCCUAACACUGACGCUGAGGUACGAAAGCAUGGGGAGCAAACAGG